AUUAAUCCCGAAACAUUAUGAGCUGUAUUUACGUKGUUAAGAACUUAAACUAUUUUGUUGCAAUAAAAUAAAAAAACGUAAAAACAGAAGCUACAUACUAACCGCAUAAUGUUAUAGCUGGUUUCUAUUUAAAGUUAUAUAAGUAACAAAAAUAAUUUACUAUUAUUAUGCUAAUAUAUAGAGGAAAAGCUCUAUAUAAUCCUCAAUUAAAAGAAAAUUAAAUAUCCUAAGUAGACUUAGAAAUAGUCACCUACAAAAAUGUUAUAAUAUAAAAACAAACAAAAUUCUUAUCUAAUGAGCAUUAAAUAGAAAUCUAUAAUAACCCAACAUAUAAUUAUAAAAUGUUAAAACUAGUAUUAAAAUAUAAAUAAACUAACACCCCUAAUAUAUGACAAAGGAACUCGGCAACUUCUUAUUUCGACUGUUUACCAAAAACAUUGCCUCAUGACACAUUUUAUAUGAGGUACUUCCUGCCCAGUGAUAUAUUCAACGGCCGCAGUACCCUGACUGUGCAAAGGUAGCAUAAUCAUUUGCCUUUUAAUUGAAGGCUGGAAUGAAUGGAUUAACGUAAAUAAAGCUGUCUCUGUUUAUACUUCUAAAACCUAGACUUUAAGUGAAAAUACUUAAAUACUAAUAAAGGACAAAAAGACCCUAUAGAGCUACAUUCAUAAUAGUUAACUAAAUACAAUAUAUUAAGUAUACUAACAAUGAAUUUUGUUGGGGCGACAAAGGAAUAUAAAAAUCUUCCUUCUAUACAAAGAUCUACCAAUCUCAUAAAAGAUCCUAAAAAGAUCUAAGGAAAAAGCUACCUUAGGGAUAACAGGCUAAUCCUCUUAAAGAGUUCACAUUGACAAGAGGGAUUGGCACCUCGAUGUUGGCUUAAGAUAUCCUCUAGGUGCAGAAGCCUAGAAAGGUUGGUUUGUUCAACCAUUAAAAUCUUACGUGAU
rnacentral:rRNA from 1 species